AUCGCUUCUUGGCCUUUUGGCUAAGAUCAAGUGUAGUGUCUGUUCUUAUCAGUUUAAAAAUUAAUGAUUUGUUUAAAACAAAAUAUUUAUGUCCACUAUUA
rnacentral:snRNA from 1 species